GUCCUCGUAGCUUAAUUGGAUAAAGCAGAACCCUUCUAAGGUUAAGACUGGAGGUUCAAGUCCUCCCGAGGACA
rnacentral:tRNA from 1 species